UACGUAGGGGGCUAGCGUUGUCCGGAAUCAUUGGGCGUAAAGCGCGCGUAGGUGGCCUCAUAAGUCCGCUGUGAAAGUCAAAGGCUCAACCUUUGAAAGCCGGUGGAUACUGUGGGGCUAGAGUACGGAAGAGGCGAGUGGAAUUCCUGGUGUAGCGGUGGAAUGCGCAGAUAUCAGGAGGAACACCAAUAGCGAAGGCAGCUCGCUGGGACGUUACUGACACUGAGGCGCGAAAGCGUGGGGAGCGAACAGG
rnacentral:rRNA from 1 species